rnacentral:rRNA from 1 species
UACGUAGGGGGCAAGCGUUGUCCGGAUUUAUUGGGCGUAAAGAGCGUGUAGGCGGCUAGGUAGGUCCGUUGUGAAAACUCGAGGCUCAACCUCGAGACGUCGAUGGAAACCAUCUAGCUAGAGUCCGGAAGAGGAGAGUGGAAUUCCUGGUGUAGCGGUGAAAUGCGCAGAUAUCAGGAAGAACACCCGUGGCGAAGGCGGCUCUCUGGUACGUGACUGACGCUGAGACGCGAAAGCGUGGGGAGCAAACAGGG